AAGGCCAUUGCUUCUACCUCUGAGUUCUGCACUGUUGGACAGUAGCCUGAGGAGUUUCAGGCUUGUCGAAGCCUUCUUCCUUCUCCCCUUCAGCCUCCAACAGUCCCCUCUUCCGGUUCUUAUGGCCCUUCUUUGGGUAAUGCAGGUCUGGGCUUCAUUUUGUGCGAAUCACAGGAUUGUUCAUUUUGUGCAAAGCAUUUCUCCGAUUUUGCCGUUACUCUUAAUACUGCUAAUAUCAUCAAUUUUGUACUGGGUUUUGAUAUGUUCCCCAGGUCCAUCAGGCAUGUCAUUGCUGACACACAUGUUGUUCUUUCUAUGCUUUUUGUUUUUUCCAAUUCCCACAUCCCUGGUAGCCUUAACUCUGUGGC
rnacentral:lncRNA from 1 species